rnacentral:rRNA from 1 species
UAGGGAAUCUUCCGCAAUGGACGAAAGUCUGACGGAGCAACGCCGCGUGAGUGAAGAAGGAUUUCGGUUCGUAAAUCUCUGUUGUUAGGGAAGAAAAAAUGUAUAGUAACUAUAUACAAAAGAGACGGUACCUAACCAGAAAGCCACGGCUAACUACGUGCCAGCAGCCGCGGUAAUACGUAGGUGGCAAGCGUUGUCCGGAAUUAUUGGGCGUAAAGCGCGCGCAGGUGGUUUAGAAAGUCUGAUGUGAAAGCCCACGGCUCAACCGUGGAGGGUCAUUGGAAACUAAUAAACUUGAGUGCAGGAGAGAAAAGUGGAAUUCCUAGUGUAGCGGUGAAAUGCGUAGAGAUUAGGAGGAACACCGGUGGCGAAAGCGGCUUUUUGGCCUGCAACUGACACUGAGGCGCGAAAGCGUGGGGAGCAAACAGG